rnacentral:rRNA from 1 species
GACGAACGCUGGCGGCGUGCCUAAUACAUGCAAGUAGAACGCACAGUUUAUACCGUAGCUUGCUACACCAUAGACUGUGAGUUGCGAACGGGUGAGUAACGCGUAGGUAACCUGCCUGGUAGCGGGGGAUAACUAUUGGAAACGAUAGCUAAUACCGCAUAAUAUUGAUUAUUGCAUGAUAAUUGAUUGAAAGAUGCUAUUGCAUCACUACCAGAUGGACCUGCGUUGUAUUAGCUAGUAGGUGAGGUAACGGCUCACCUAGGCGACGAUACAUAGCCGACCUGAGAGGGUGAUCAGCCACACUGGGACUGAGACACGGCCCAGACUCCUACGGGAGGCAGCAGUAGGGAAUCUUCGGCAAUGGACGAAAGUCUGACCGAGCAACGCCGCGUGAGUGAAGAAGGUUUUCGGAUCGUAAAGCUCUGUUGUAAGAGAAGAACGGGUGUGAGAGUGGAAAGUUCACACUGUGACGGUAUCUUACCAGAAAGGGACGGCUAACUACGUG